AGCGAACGCUGGCGGCAGGCUUAACACAUGCAAGUCGAGCGGGCGUAGCAAUACGUCAGCGGCAGACGGGUGAGUAACGCGUGGGAACAUACCUUUUGGUUCGGAACAACACAGGGAAACUUGUGCUAAUACCGGAUAAGCCCUUACGGGGAAAGAUUUAUCGCCGAAAGAUUGGCCCGCGUCUGAUUAGCUAGUUGGUGAGGUAACGGCUCACCAAGGCGACGAUCAGUAGCUGGCUGAGAGGAUGAUCAGCCACAUUGGGACUGAGACACGGCCCAAACUCCUACGGGAGGCAGCAGUGGGGAAUAUUGGACAAUGGGCGCAAGCCUGAUCCAGCCAUGCCGCGUGAGUGAUGAAGGCCCUAGGGUUGUAAAGCUCUUUUGUGCGGGAAGAUAAUGACGGUACCGCAAGAAUAAG
rnacentral:rRNA from 1 species